GGAAUAUUGCGCAAUGGGCGAAAGCCUGACGCAGCAACGCCGCGUGAAGGAUGAAGGCCUUCGGGUCGUAAACUUCUGUCAGGUGGAAAGAAGGCUCCGUCGGUUAAGCGCUAGUGGAGCUUGACGGUACCACCACAGGAAGCCCCGGCUAACUCCGGCCCAGCAGCCGCGGUAAUACGGAGGGGGCAAGCGUUAGUCGGAAUUAUUGGGCGUAAAGGGCGCGUAGGCGGCUUGGUAAGUCAAAGGUGAAAUCCCUCGGCUCAACCGGGGAACUGCCUUUGAAACUGCCUCGCUAGAGUCCGGGAGAGGGUAGCGGAAUUCCCAGUGUAGCGGUGAAAUGCGUAGAUAUUGGGAGGAACACCCGUGGCGAAGGCGGCUACCUGGACCGGUACUGACGCUGAGGCGCGAAAGCGUGGGGAGCAAAC
rnacentral:rRNA from 1 species